ACAGCCACCACUUGGCAGUGCACGAGAGCAGGGGCCACGUGCUCUGGUUUCCCUUUAACAGUGGGCCACUCUGUACAUGCAGAUGGAAACUACUGGACCUAUGACUGCCGGAGUUAUAGGUAUUGAGCCCAUGAAGUACAGCAGCACACAUACACACUUGCACAUAUGCACAGCACACCAAUUCUCCAUAGCCAGGGCAUCACAGUGCCUCAAUGUAAGAACAGAAGAAAAGAAGAAAGAAGCCUGGUGACUGCUAGUAUGCGACAACAAUAAGUCAAUAUUUAUUCCAUUAAAUGGAUUCAUUUAAGAACAAGUGACCACAACCAAAUCGAACAAAAAUGCACCAUGUUUGCAUUUAAACAUUAGGCAGCCAGGUCUCAACUUACCAUUCCAGCUCUGCCCAGAAUGCACAGAAG
rnacentral:lncRNA from 1 species